GAUGAACGCUAGCGACAGGCCUAACACAUGCAAGUCGAGGGGCAUCGGGACGUAGCAAUACGUUGCCGGCGACCGGCGGAUGGGUGAGUAACGCGUAUGCAACCUACCCGUAGCAGGGGGAUAGCCCGUUGAAAGACGGAUUAAUACCCCGUAACACAGGGGCUCCGCAUGGAGAUUAUUGUUAAAGGGUCAUUUCUUUUUCAGGGAUGGUCCGGCUGCGGAUGGGCAUGCGUUCCAUUAGGUAGUUGGUGUAGGUAACUGCUCACCAAGCCGACGAUGGAUAGGGGAACUGAGAGGUUGGUCCCCCACACUGGUACUGAGACACGGACCAGACUCCUACGGGAGGCAGCAGUGAGGAAUUUUGGUCAAUGGACGCAAGUCUGAACCAGCCAUGUCGCGUGAAGGAGGACGGCCCUAAGGGUUGUAAACUUCUUUUGCAGUGGAAUAAAGUUUGCCACGUGUUGGCGAUUUGCAAGUACGCUGCGAAUAAGGAUCGGCUAACUCCGUG
rnacentral:rRNA from 1 species